UACGUAGGUGACAAGCGUUAUCCGGAUUUACUGGGCGUAAAGCGCACGCAGGUGGCACUUUAAGUCUGACGUGAAAUCGCACGGCUUAACCGGGCGUGGUCGUUGGAAACUGAAGAGCUUGAGGCGAGGAGAGGGGUGUAGAAUUCCCGGUGUAGUGGUGGAAUGCGUAGAUAUCGGGGGGAAUACCAGUGGCGAAAGCGACACCCUGGCCUUAGCCUGACACUCAGGUGCGAAAGCGUGGGGAGCGAACGGG
rnacentral:rRNA from 1 species